rnacentral:rRNA from 1 species
UAAAAAUUUAAUUAAUAAUAUUAAAGUAGUAUUAGUUAAGUUCUUGAAAUUUAAAAAAUUUGGCGGUAUUUUAGUCUAUUCAGAGGAACCUGUUUUUUAAUUGAUAAUCCACGAUGAAUCUUACUUAAAUUUAUUUAAUUUAUAUAUCGUCGUUUAUGAAUAUUUUAGAAGAAUAAUAAUUUUCUUAAUUUUUAAUUUAAAAAUAUAUCAGAUCAAGAUGUAGUUUAUGUUUAAGUUUAUAAUGGGUUACAUUUAAAAUAUUAAUGGAUUUAAAUUUGUAAUUUAUUUAUUGAAAUUGGAUUUGGUAGUAAAUUUAUAUAGAUAGAUAAAUUGACUAUAGCUCUAUAAUAUG